rnacentral:rRNA from 1 species
GGGGAAUAUUGGACAAUGGGCGAAAGCCUGAUCCAGCCAUGCCGCGUGUGUGAAGAAGGUCUUCGGAUUGUAAAGCACUUUAAGUUGGGAGGAAGGGUUGUAGAUUAAUACUCUGCAAUUUUGACGUUACCGACAGAAUAAGCACCGGCUAACUCUGUGCCAGCAGCCGCGGUAAUACAGAGGGUGCAAGCGUUAAUCGGAAUUACUGGGCGUAAAGCGCGCGUAGGUGGUUUGUUAAGUUGGAUGUGAAAUCCCCGGGCUCAACCUGGGAACUGCAUUCAAAACUGACUGGCUAGAGUAUGGUAGAGGGUGGUGGAAUUUCCUGUGUAGCGGUGAAAUGCGUAGAUAUAGGAAGGAACACCAGUGGCGAAGGCGACCACCUGGACUAAUACUGACACUGAGGUGCGAAAGCGUGGGGAGCAAAC